UCCCGCGUAGCUCAACGGCAGAGCACUCGGCUGUUAACCGAGGGGUUGUUGGUUCGAAUCCAACCGCGGGAG
rnacentral:tRNA from 1 species